rnacentral:lncRNA from 1 species
UCCUCUGCGAGGCGUUUACACUUCUGAGGCCACCUCCAAAACCUUACGUAUACAAUAUUAAUUUUUGCCACAUCUGGGAACCGCUGGAUGUUAAGGGAACAACCCCACUCUGCUCCGUGAGUUCCCUGUGGACGUUAGCGGUGUGGAGGAGACCUUGGGGAGUGUGAACGGAUUGAGGACCAGGCGAUCUCUCUCCCAUUUGCUUUUCUGGGUGAUCUCAUGGAGCCUUGUGACUUCACCUGCAGCCUCUGGUCCCCAAGGCCCAGGCCUGAGCUCUCAUCCUUAUGCUCUGCAGCCUCAGCUGGGCUUGGGCAGCCCAGCUGAGUUUCCCCCUGCCAGCACAGCCUCACGUCACUCUGCUCGGGGCCACCCUGCUUCUGUACCUGGCCAGGACUGGUGCUUUCUUCAAUCAGAGCCACUGAAAAUGGGAAUGAGUCUGUGGAGAGGGGGCUUCCUGUGA